AGUGAACGCUGGCGGUAGGCCUAACACAUGCCAGUCGAACGGCAGCACAGUAAGAGCUUGCUCUUACGGGUGGCGAGUGGCGGACGGGUGAGGAAUACAUCGGAAUCUACUUUUUCGUGGGGGAUAACGUAGGGAAACUUACGCUAAUACCGCAUACGACCUACGGGUGAAAGCAGUGGAUCUUCGGACCUUGCGCGAUUGAAUGAGCCGAUGUCGGAUUAGCUAGUUGGCGGGGUAAAGGCCCACCAAGGCGCCGAUCCGUAGCUGGUCUGAGAGGAUGGUCAGCCACACUGGAACGGAGACACGGUCCAGACUCCUACGGGAGGCAGCAGUGGGGAAUAUGGGACAAUGGGCGCAAGCCUGAGCCAGCCAUGCCGCGUGGGUGAAGAAGGCCUUCGGGUUGUAAAGCCCUUUUGUUGGGAAAGAAAAGCAGUAGGUUAAUACCCCGCUGUUCUGACGGUACCCAAAGAAUAAGCACCGGCUAACUUCGUG
rnacentral:rRNA from 1 species